ACAAUACAACGGACACGAUCCCUGCCUUCAAGGAGCCUCGAUCUUACCUUUUAACCUGGGAAACAGACACAAAAAUGUUUACAGGUAAUCUGGGAACCUAAAUGGUCAAGAUUAAACAAAAGUGGGAUCUUAUAA